rnacentral:rRNA from 1 species
GGCGAACGCUGGCGGCAGGCCUAACACAUGCAAGUCGAACGAACCCUUCGGGGUUAGUGGCGGACGGGUGAGUAACACGUGGGAACGUGCCUUUAGGUUCGGAAUAACUCAGGGAAACUUGUGCUAAUACCGAAUGUGCCCUUCGGGGGAAAGAUUUAUCGCCUUUAGAGCGGCCCGCGUCUGAUUAGCUAGUUGGUGAGGUAAUGGCUCACCAAGGCUACGAUCAGUAGCUGGUCUGAGAGGAUGACCAGCCACAUUGGGACUGAGACACGGCUCAAACUCCUACGGGAGGCAGCAGUGGGGAAUCUUGCGCAAUGGGCGAAAGCCUGACGCAGCCAUGCCGCGUGGAUGAUGAAGGUCUUAGGAUUGUAAAAUCCUUUCACCGGUGAAGAUAAUGACUGUAGCCGGAGAAGAAGCCCCGGCUAACUUCGUGCCAGCCGCCGCCGUAAAAC